GAUGAACGCUAGCGGCAGGCUUAAUACAUGCAAGUCAAGGGGUAGCAAUACACCGGCGUACGGGUGCGUAACGCGUAUGGAACCUGCCCUUAUCUGGGGGAUAACUCGGGGAAACUCGAGCUAAUACCGCAUAAGAUAGUAGAGUGGCAUCACUCAGCUAUUAAAGAUUUAUCGGAUAAGGAUGGCCAUGCGUAAGAUUAGAUAGUUGGCGAGGUAACGGCUCACCAAGUCUACGAUCUUUAGGGGCUCUGAGAGGAGAAUCCCCCACACUGGCACUGAGAUACGGGCCAGACUCCUACGGGAGGCAGCAGUAGGGAAUAUUGGGCAAUGGGCGGAAGCCUGACCCAGCCACGCCGCGUGCAGGAAGACGGCCCUCUGGGUUGUAAACUGCUUUUAACUGGGAAGAAAGCAGCUCAUGCGUGAGAAUUUGACGGUACCAGUUGAAUAAGCCACGGCUAACUACGUGCCAGCAGCCGCAGUAAGAC
rnacentral:rRNA from 1 species